rnacentral:pre_miRNA from 1 species
CUUGUACUCCCUCCGUCCAAAAAUACUUGUCAUUGAAAUGGAUGUAUCUAGAUGUAUUUUAGUUCUAGACACAUCCAUUUUGAUGACAAGUAAUUCCAGAUGGAGGGAGUACUUG